GAACCAGCGGAGGGAUCAUUACCGAGUUUACAACUCCCAAACCCCUGUGAACAUACCAAUUGUUGCCUCGGCGGAUCAGCCCGCUCCCGGUAAAACGGGACGGCCCGCCAGAGGACCCCUAAACUCUGUUUCUAUAUGUAACUUCUGAGUAAAACCAUAAAUAAAUCAAAACUUUCAACAACGGAUCUCUUGGUUCUGGCAUCGAUGAAGAACGCAGCAAAAUGCGAUAAGUAAUGUGAAUUGCAGAAUUCAGUGAAUCAUCGAAUCUUUGAACGCACAUUGCGCCCGCCAGUAUUCUGGCGGGCAUGCCUGUUCGAGCGUCAUUUCAACCCUCAAGCCCAGCUUGGUGUUGGGACUCGCGAGUUAAAUCGCGUUCCCCAAAUUGAUUGGCGGUCACGUCGAGCUUCCAUAGCGUAGUAGUAAAACCCUCGUUACUGGUAAUCGUCGCGGCCACGCCGUUAAACCCCAACUUCUGAAUGUUGACCUCGGAUCAGGUAGGAAUACCCGCUGAACUUAAGCAUAUCA
rnacentral:rRNA from 1 species